GUCAUCACAGCGAACCACACUGGAGUCAACGGCGCCCUCCUCCCUCUCCUCUGCGCCCGCCGAUGCGGGCCGCGUCUUCGUGUCCUCGGCCAUGCUGCCAGCGGCAGCGAUGCGGUCUGGCGUCUGUGCCGUCGGAGUUCCCGUCUUCUCCCCUGCAUCGCGAGCGCAGUGCCGGCCUGCCUACGUCGGGGUUGCUCGCCACAUGGCCGACCCGGAGGUGGAGACGCUGUGACCAGAUUCAUGUAUAGCCAUCUCUCUGGAAUUCUGGAGUGGCCUGUGGACGAGCAGGAGUAGCUGUCUCACUUCUCAAGUUUCUACUGCAGACCGUCCGCAGAAGACGCCGAUAUAGAUCCAUCGCCAGCGUAUAUCCUUUUUGCAAGUUAUGGGUACCUGCAUGCGUCCCUCCCAAUUACAACCAGAAUUUCUAUAACAUACUAGAUGUGAUGGCUUCAGAAAUCAGGCGAUUCAGACAGAGAUGUCGGUGACAGCUGGAGGCUUCCAACAUCUCGCCAAAACAAACUGCCGAGUGCCUACUGCCUAACAAAGAUCCAAAGAACUAGCUCGACUGGACUCUAGAUCACGGACAAUUAGUCUUGGCACUUAAUUAGGAUGACUAAAUUACAUUUAAGUUUCAUUUGAUGGAUAUUUGCUAUGAGAAUUAUGAAUCUACAUAUUAUACAUAUGGUUUUGAAUAUUGUAAUUGAAUGCUUGUAUUUUUUUUACGAUUGCAAUAGGCUAUUACAGCAACCCACUUUCGGUUGCCACAUGUUAGCACCAUGAAAAGUUUAAAUGGUCGCAAUAGUUUUUCGCUACAAACAUUUCACCCGUUGUGAUACCAAUUUAUCACCACCAAAACUAGUAUGUUGCAAUUUCCUGUUACAACGACUGAAAUAUUUGUUGCCAUAAGUUAAUGCCACAAGUGUAGCGGUUCGUAGCAAAAUGCCUAAUGCCACGGAAACAAGGAUUGUUGCAAUAGUUUAUUGCGACAAUUAACUAUUGCCAUGGAAGAGUAUGCGCCACGAAACGAACGUCGUUGGCAUAGGAUGUUGCCACAAAUGUCUAUCGCCAGAAGCUAUCAGUCGCGAUGAUUCGUUACAUGUUGCAUUAAAGCUAUCUCCACAAAGCAAAUUGUGGCAUCAGGUGAGUGUUGCCACGAGAAAACAUGUGGCGACUUCCCACAUGGUU